UUAUGGAAAAGCCGGUGCAAGCGAGGUAGGAGAUGAACAGGCAAAUCCGUUCAUCAAUCCGAAGACGUGAUGCGGACCGAAUUAAGAGUAGGGAAGUGUGUGAGCCAUGCGUCAAGAAAAGCCGCUAUUGUUUUACUUAAGCCCGUACCGUAAACCGACACAGGUGGAUGAGGAGAGAAUCCUAAGGCCGACGGGAGAAGCAUUGUUAAGGAACUCGGCAAAAUGACUCCGUAACUUCGGGAGAAGGAGUGCCAGCGAGAGCUGGCCGCAGAGAAUUGGCCCAAGCAACUGUUUAGCAAAAACACAGGUCUAUGCAAAACCGUAAGGUGAAGUAUAUGGGCUGACGCCUGCCCGGUGCUGGAAGGUUAAGAGGAGAGGUUAGCGGCAACGCGAAGCUUUGAAUUUAAGCCCCAGUAAACGGCGGCCGUAACAAUAACGGUCCUAAGGUAGCGAAAUUCCUUGUCGGGUAAGUUCCGGCCCGCACGAAAGGCGUAAUGAUUUGGGCACUGUCUCAACAAUGCACCCGGUGAAAUUGAAAUACCAGUGAAGAUGCUGGUUACCUGCGCCAGGACGGAAAGACCCCAUGGAGCUUUACUCCAGCUUGAUACUGGGAUUCGGUAUUGCAUGUACAGGAUAGGUGGGAGGCUAGGAAGUGAUAACGCCAGUUGUCACGGAGCCGCUGUUGGGAUACCACCCUUGCAGUAUUGGAUUUCUAACCAGCGACCAUGAACUGGUCGGGGGACAAUGUCAGGUGGGGAGCUUGACUGGGGCGGUCGCCUCCGAAAGGGUAUCGGAGGCGCUCAAAGGUUCCCUCAGAAUGGACGGAAACCAUUCGAAGAGUGCAAAGGCAGAAGGGAGCUUGACUGCGACACCGACGGGUGGAGCAGGUACGAAAGUAGGACUUAGUGAUCCGGUGGUAUAAAGUGGGAUUGCCAUCGCUCAACGGAUAAAAGCUACCCUGGGAUAACAGGCUUAUCACUCCCAAGAGUUCACAUCGACGGAGUGGUUUGGCACCUCGAUGUCGGCUCAUCGCAUCCUGGGGCUGAAGUAGGUCCCAAGGGUUGGGCUGUUCGCCCAUUAAAGCGGUACGCGAGCUGGGUUCAGAACGUCGUGAGACAGUUCGGUCCCUAUCCGGCGUGGGCGUAGGAUAUUUGAGAGGAGCUGUCCUUAGUACGAGAGGACCGGGAUGGACUGGCCGCUGGUGUAUCUGUUGCAUACCAAAUGCAUGGCAGAGUAGCCAAGCCGGGACGGGAUAAACGCUGAAGGCAUCUAAGCGUGAAGCCCCCCUCAAGAUGAGAUAUCCCUACGUAAGUAGUAAGACCCCUUGAAGACGACGAGGUAGAUAGGUCAGAGGUGGAAGUACAGUAAUGUAUGGAGCUGACUGAUACUAAUCGGUCGAGGGCAUGACU
rnacentral:rRNA from 1 species